UCAGCUUCAGGGAUAUUGGCUGACAACCUAAGAUGACCGUUUCCUUCCAAUUAUUCAUAAUUUCUAAGAAUUUAAUAAUUAAUACUUUAACAGAGAGAUUGUCUGUUGGGAUGAAAGAAAAGCACCCCAUGUUGCUUGAUUAGAACUAACAGAUGUUGGUGAUUGGAGCUGAGAUUAAUGAAAGUAACUAAAUGAAGACUUGAAAUCUGCAAGAUGGAUGUCACCACUAUGUGUAAUGACAGAUGCAGAGAUUGGAGUGAUAAGUUACAAACUAAGAAAUGCCAGGAAUCUAUGACUACCGCAGAAAGCCAGGAAGAUGCAAGGAGUGAGAGUUUUAUAAUGAGCACAGAUCUGCUGACACCUUAAAUUUAAAUUUAAGAACUAUGAGAAUAAAUGUCUACUGUUUUAUGUGAACAGCUAGUUACAGUAGCCCUAGAGGCAUAUAUGUAGUCUAUACAUCCAAACAAAACCAGAUAAAUGUAUCAUACAAAUAUUUGUAUUUUGGAAAGUAUAUGUAUCAUGAUGUGCUUGUUUAAAGAAAGAUUUCUUGGGGCACCUGGGUCGCUCAGUCGGGU